CCUGCACCCAGUGGGAGAAGAAGGUGGCCUGUCAUAUGCCAUAUGCAUUUGGAUAUUUAAGAUUCUUCUCCUAGGACGGAAGCACCAGAAUAUAAGUAUGGAACCGUGUUACAAAUUUGUUGUUAUACACGUAGUAUGAAAAUAACCAUGUUGGUAAUGCAUCAUCAGAAACAUUUUUGUAACAAAUAUACCAAUGUACGAUCUACAUAUUGUAUUGACUCUUGGUUCCUUAGUCUAGUGAAUUAGCAUAUAUUUCUCAUAUUUUUGAUAGCAUAUUGCUCAAAACCAUUGGUCCAUUGUGACAGGGAAUCCAACUAAGGAAUUGGAUGGAGUGGAAUACAGAUUGUUAUCCACACACUGGGCCACUCAUCAACUUCUAAAGGGUGAUGGACCUUGGCAUUUAGAAAGGUGCGCACCACCGACAGCACAACUACAGAAAGCAGCAUAAAGAAAAGAUAGCUUUCGUUCAAAAAGAGAGAGAUUGGGUGGCAUAUGAUCCUGCGAAGAGUUUACCAGUGUUUGAUGCCAAUGAUCCGUGCCUCAGUGCCACCAGUGGCAGCUGGGACCAUGGAUGCUGUUGCCCCAUCUCCUGUGUUCCCCUCGAGAAUCUCCCUCAUCAUUUGUUCAAAGAGCGCAUAGUCUUCCAUCUGCUUUCAAAUAAUCGGUUCACCAAGUCACGCGAUCAUAACAGUACAAGAGUUGAAAAACAUGAUCGUAAGUCUUAACAAGACUUGAAAAGCAUGAUCAUGCUUCCUUCUCGGCAGCGAGGCGGCGCUCCUCAGCCUCCACCUCCUUCCUCCUCCAGAACUCGUCGAUCUCGGCCCUUGUGAUGCUGUAAACCGGGACUGCCGCCAUGAUCGUUUCCACUCCGGCCUCUGGGAAGCAGGGUCUUUGUUGGCUGCAGAGGAGGCAACUAGAAAGAGAGACGGCACGGCCGGUCAAGCACUCAACCUCCCCCUUUUAUCUGCCCCGGAGUAGUUGUUUCCGGCUAGGUUGAGGACUUGAGGUGUAGCCAGGUCACCUCAUAUAUACACACUCUGCUACAUCUUUAUCUGCAGGAUCUUGCAUCACCCACCUAUCUUGCUGCUGAUAAAACCUUGGCACAAGUUACAGCCACAGACCAUGAACUUCCAGUGGAGAACGAUAGGUUGGGUUGGGUAUGGGUCCCGUUCCGUCUACUCUUCUCAACCAUCGAUUGUGCAACUUUUGUUUGCUUGCUUGUCUUUAGUAGAGAGCCAAUGACUUAAAAAUGAAGAUGAAUGAACAAAGUGGGGAGAAAGGUGGUUGGGGGCAUUGGAUGGUAAAAUAAAAGGACCAAAAAGACUAGGGGUGUGUGUGCCCAAUCCAACCCGCCGGUGUUUUUUGUGGCUUUUCUUUUUCUUUGUGUUGCUUGGUUAUGACCUCUUAGAAACAUAACAUUGUAUUUUUCUGCUAUACCAGUAGAACACAUUCGGUGUUGUUCGUUCAAAAAAAAAGACGUGUGUACCCGUCGGUCUAACGUCACCUCAACUGUUGGAAGCUUGUUAGGGUUUAGGACCAAAGCAGGUCAUAGUAAAUACAUGUGAUUCUAUCCUUGACUUUGGCGGGAGCCACCAUGUGGUCGUUCGCUUUCGUCAAAAGGAACAAUAGGAAUUGAGGUGGUUUGAGCAUGCGUCAAGGAUGGAGGUGAAACAUGUUUGGCUGUUACCAUCACUUUACUGCUCCGGGUAUCAUUGCGUCUAUUCUCAAACGCAGCUGUUAAUGUCAAAGCUGAAAAAGUUAGAGCGAGGAUGGCCCAUCACAGCCACAGUGAAAUACUUUUAACUGCUAAGUAGCUCGGAUUGCGAUAGUUUCCAGUGUGAAUUUGUGAUUCCAACAAGGCCUGUGUGCUGUUCACAAAACG